UCUCCUGGAAAACGGGUGGUAAUACCGGAUGCUCCGCUCCAUCGCAUGGUGGGGUGGGAAAUGCUUUUGCGGCAUGGGAUGGGGUCGCGUCCUAUCAGCUUGUUGGCGGGGUGAUGGCCCACCAAGGCGUUGACGGGUAGCCGGCCUGAGAGGGUGACCGGCCACAUUGGGACUGAGAUACGGCCCAGACUCCUACGGGAGGCAGCAGUGGGGAAUAUUGCACAAUGGGCGCAAGCCUGAUGCAGCGACGCCGCGUGCGGGAUGGAGGCCUUCGGGUUGUAAACCGCUUUUGUUCAAGGGCAAGGCACGGUUUCGGCCGUGUUGAGUGGAUUGUUCGAAUAAGCACCGGCUAACUACGUGCCAGCAGCCGCGGUAAUACGUAGGGUGCGAGCGUUAUCCGGAUUUAUUGGGCGUAAAGGGCUCGUAGGCGGUUCGUCGCGUCCGGUGUGAAAGUCCAUCGCCUAACGGUGGAUCUGCGCCGGGUACGGGCGGGCUGGAGUGCGGUAGGGGAGACUGGAAUUCCCGGUGUAACGGUGGAAUGUGUAGAUAU
rnacentral:rRNA from 1 species